UGUCAACUAGUCAAAGAUGGAGGCUGGAGCAGGGAGGCCAUGAGGCAUGGAAUGAAGCUCCCUCCAGUCACCUGCUGCAAGACACAUUAUCCAGCUUCCUAACCUUAAGGAUGAGACCCUAUCAAUAUUGCCUCUGCUUUUGUGAUCAGGGUAGUAGUGCAAUAUUGCUUAUAGGGUCUUUUCUUUGGAGGGUUAUUCUUCAUGGAGAGAAGAAAGCCACAGCAGGAAAAAAAUAAUCCUAUGUGCCCAUCGAGUUAAGGGAAAAGUUGUGAAAUGCUGAGCGUUGUUAGAUAGGCAAGUAAUUGUGCGGAGAUAUCUGACGAAUAAUCGUGCUAUUGCGGUGACUCAGGUUGUAAGUAAGGAGUGUAUUUUUGAUGCUAUCGCACAGGAUUCAAAACGGCCUCAUGUUUAAAACACACAAGCAGUGAUUGAAACCGGAGAAACCCAUCAUGGCUCCAUUUUAAAAUAGUAUGAGUCCCAAGACGUUUGAAGGGUGCCUAUUUUACAUAAUGAUGUAAACACCCACCAAGGGAUGGGAGGAGAUACAUAGCCGCACUUGCUGUUUCUGUGCCUGAUCCCAGCCCGAAAACCAGUGCGAUGCGAAGCAGAGCACAGCACAAAGAGGCCGAGGCUCUAAUCCGAGUAACCUCCUCGAAACAAAGCUCAUGCCUCUUCCCGGCGAGCGCGGGCAGCCAGCCCGGCGGCCGGGGCUGUUGCGAGGUCGGGCGGCACAGCGGGGCUGGGCGCUGCCUCCGGCCCUUCCCGAGAUCUGCUCACCGAGGUACGUGGGAACGGAGCCGGGACGGGAACGGUCAGUCUCGUCUCCGCUUUGCGAGGGAUCAGCUGGGGGCUGACAGCAGCCGGGUGGGUGGCCCUGCCUUCCAUUUCAGGUGGUCCCCGCGGUCCCUUUCGGGACCUCGGGGGCCCAGGGAAAGGGAUGGUGGGAGGGGAUUGGGGGCCGGAGCAGGGCGCGGCGGAGGAGCCGCUGCCGCGGGGCUUUCCGAGCCGGUCCCCGGGCGGCGCGGAGCUGCAGCGGCUCCUUCACUCACGGCGGCCGGGCUCGCCUCGCCGGCCCGGGGGCGUGCGGGGGAGGGACCGGAGCGCUGCGACGGAGCCGCGCCCGCCGCCUCCUCGUACGCCUGACCCUGACGCUGCCCUUGGUUUAAACCCCCCCACCCCCAAGCAUCAUUCCGAGCUCGGGGACAAAGCCAGGACAUCACCCCCCCCCGGCCGCUCCGGGCUCUCCCUCCGUGCCCCCGGCCCGGCGGCCGGGCUGCAGGCCGAGGGGCGGCCACGGCUGCUGGGCCAGCGCUGGGACCACCGGGCGGGCUGCCCCUCUUUCCCUGUUGCACUACUGUCACGGUCGCAGCGAGCAGUGCAAUAAUGAAAGGGCGUCAGUGCGCCGGGGAGCGGCGAGAGCCGGGGACGAGCCGGUGACCGCGUGCGGGAACGGGACGUCCCACCACCCCCCGAGAGCCACCUUAACGGGGGGGUAAGGGGCGGGUAGGGGGGCUUCGCUUGGGCAACUUUCUUUGUUUAAACACGCAGCGGCGGAGAGUGCGCGCAGGGGCAGGGCAAAGUGACCGGCUCCGCGCACCGCCCUGCCCCGGGCCCGUCGGUCCGGCCGCCCCCCGCUGUACCCGGCCGACACCCAAUAAAUAAAGUGACUCCCA